ensembl:lncRNA
GCCUCAACCAGACCACAGAGAACUGAUGCCUGGAGAUCUCUCCUGCUGUGGGGCUCAGUGACCUGCAGGAACUAGUUGGACCUCUAUCUUCCCAGCCCUGCAAAUAUUUAUUACUCAUCAGAUAAAACACAAUGAAAGUUGAAACAAAGUGUGCUGAUACCAAGGUUGCAGUCAGCGUCCUCUCCUCUCGGCUGAGUGGCUGCGUUAAUCACUGAGCCGGAGUUCACCUGUCAAACACAGCAGAGACCUGGCAGUUACCUACAGAUCUAAUGUCGGCCUGGCUCCAGGUUUUACUGAGUGUGGGAAUCUUGCCCAGCCUCUGACAUCGUACAGGUUGAUACUCAUCAGGUUGCCCUUUUAUGGACCACGGUAAGAAAAAGAAUAUCAUCCCUCCUCUUAGAUGACAUUGUCAGAUGCAGCUGCCGUUACCCUGCAUGAACGCUUCCAUGAUGAGCAUUCCACCCCUGAUCUGCGCUUUGAAUCCUCUCUAGUGGACGUCUGUGUAAUCUUCCAUUCACAUCGACUUCUCCUGAGAACAGAAGUGUGUAGUGGCCGCACUUUGGGGAAAUUCGGGCCUGUGGCAUGCAGACAGCAUGGCUGCAUGACACACGUCUGUCUUUUGUUCUUGAAUCCGCCCAGGGCUUGGGCCAACAUAGCUGGCUGAUGGCUCACAGCCUUUGGUAACAAAAGCAGGGGAAAUCCAUAGCUGCUGGAGAUGGAGGCUGCUUGUUGCUCAAGCUAGGGUGGGCUGAGCUCAAGCGCGCCCUUAGGGCUCACCAGAAAUGUCUCCCAAGCAUUUGAACCACCCUCUAGAGAAUUUUCAGGUAGUCAAGUGGGACAACUCUGGGGAAGAAAGCCUGGGGACAAACCCAGCAGCUUUCCUCUCCCUGCAGAGCUGUGGAUUCCAUUAUUAGCUAUCAAGCGUGGUUUUGAACUUCAGGACGAAAAGUUGCGUAUAUGUCUGUGUCUUAAAGUCAACUGUCAGUAGAGUGAUCAGCUAUUGAGAGAUGUGAGUUAUUUUUAGAUGAAUACAAACGUUGGAUGAUGGAUUGUUCGGGGGGGCAGAAAACAACCUUGAAAUUAAAUUGGGGAAAAAACCCCAAACAAAUGAAAUGUAACAGCAGCAAAAACAAAUUC